AGUGAACGCUGGCGGUAGGCCUAACACAUGCAAGUCGAACGGCAGCACAGUAAGAGCUUGCUCUUACGGGUGGCGAGUGGCGGACGGGCGCGGAAUACAUCGGAAUCUACUUUUUCGUGGGGGAUAACGUAGGGAAACUUACGCUAAUACCGCAUACGACCUACGGGUGAAAGCAGGGGAUCUUCGGACCUUGCGCGAUUGAAUGAGCCGAUGUCGGAUUAGCUAGUUGGCGGGGUAAAGGCCCACCAAGGCGACGAUCCGUAGCUGGUCUGAGAGGAUGGUCAGCCACACUGGAACUGAGACACGGUCCAGACUCCUACGGGAGGCAGCAGUGGGGAAUAUUGGACAAUAGGCGCAAGCCUGAUCCAGCCAUACCGCGUGGGUGAAGAAGGCCUUCGGGUUGUAAAGCCCUUUUGUUGGGAAAGAAAAUCAGCAGGUUAAUACCCCGCUGUUCUGACGGUACCCAAAGAAUAAGCACCGGCUAACUUCGUG
rnacentral:rRNA from 1 species